CACGUAGGGUGUGAGCGUUGUCCGGAAUUACUGGGCGUAAAGCGCACGUAGGCGGCUUUGUAAGUUAGAGGUGAAAGCCCGGGGCUCAACUCCGGAAUUGCCUUUAAGACUGCAUCGCUAGAAUUGUGGAGAGGUAAGUGGAAUUCCGAGUGUAGAGGUGAAAUUCGUAGAUAUUCGGAAGAACACCAGUGGCGAAGGCGACUUACUGGACACAUAUUGACGCUGAGGUGCGAAAGCGUGGGGAGCAAACAGG
rnacentral:rRNA from 1 species